AUUGAACGCUGGCGGCAGGCUUAACACAUGCAAGUCGAACGAUGAAACUCUAGCUUGCUAGAGAAGAUUAGUGGCGGACGGGUGAGUAACAUUUAGGAAUCUGCCUAGUAGUGGGGGAUAGCUCGGGGAAACUCGAAUUAAUACCGCCUACGACCUACGGGUGAAAGGGGGCGCAAGCUCUUGCUAUUAGAUGAGCCUAAAUCAGAUUAGCUAGUUGGUGGGGUAAAGGCCCACCAAGGCGACGAUCUGUAACUGGUCUGAGAGGAUGAUCAGUCACACCGGAACUGAGACACGGUCCGGACUCCUACGGGAGGCAGCAGUGGGGAAUAUUGGACAAUGGGGGCAACCCUGAUCCAGCCAUGCCGCGUGUGUGAAGAAGGCCUUUUGGUUGUAAAGCACUUUAAGCAGGGAGGAGAGGCUAAUGGUUAAUACCCAUUAGAUUAGACGUUACCUGCAGAAUAAGCACCGGCUAACUCUGUGCCAGCAGCCGCGGUAAUACAGAGGGUGCGAGCGUUAAUCGGAAUUACUGGGCGUAAAGCGAGUGUAGGUGGCUCAUUAAGUCACAUGUGAAAUCCCCGGGCUUAACCUGGGAACUGCAUGUGAUACUGGUGGUGCUAGAAUAUGUGAGAGGGAAGUAGAAUUCCAGGUGUAGCGGUGAAAUGCGUAGAGAUCUGGAGGAAUACCGAUGGCGAAGGCAGCUUCCUGGCAUAAUAUUGACACUGAGAUUCGAAAGCGUGGGUAGCAAACAGGAUUAGAUACCCUGGUAGUCCACGCCGUAAACGAUGUCUACUAGCCGUUGGGGUCCUUGAGACUUUAGUGGCGCAGUUAACGCGAUAAGUAGACCGCCUGGGGAGUACGGCCGCAAGGUUAAAACUCAAAUGAAUUGACGGGGGCCCGCACAAGCGGUGGAGCAUGUGGUUUAAUUCGAUGCAACGCGAAGAACCUUACCUGGUCUUGACAUAGUGAGAAUCCUGCAGAGAUGCGGGAGUGCCUUCGGGAAUUCACAUACAGGUGCUGCAUGGCUGUCGUCAGCUCGUGUCGUGAGAUGUUGGGUUAAGUCCCGCAACGAGCGCAACCCUUUUCCUUACUUGCCAGCGGGUUAAGCCGGGAACUUUAAGGAUACUGCCAGUGACAAACUGGAGGAAGGCGGGGACGACGUCAAGUCAUCAUGGCCCUUACGACCAGGGCUACACACGUGCUACAAUGGUAGGUACAGAGGGUUGCUACACAGCGAUGUGAUGCUAAUCUCAAAAAGCCUAUCGUAGUCCGGAUUGGAGUCUGCAACUCGACUCCAUGAAGUCGGAAUCGCUAGUAAUCGCAGAUCAGAAUGCUGCGGUGAAUACGUUCCCGGGCCU
rnacentral:rRNA from 1 species